GAUGAACGCUGACAGCAUGCUUAACACAUGCAAGUCUUUGGCGAAGCUGUGCUUGCACAGCCUAGCCCAGGCGGACGGGUGAGUAACGUGUCAGGAACUUGCCCUGCAGUCAGGAAUAACAGACGGAAACGACUGAUAAGACCUGGCAAAGUCAGGCGGACUCAUGUCCGGCCUGAUGAAAAGAGAUGCUGCUGGAGAGCCUUGUGUACUAUUGGCUUGUUGGUGGGGUAAGGGCUCACAAAAGCGGUGAUAGGUGGCCAGUGUGAGAGGGUGGACGGCCACAAGGCGACGGAGAGACGGAGCUGACUCCUACGGGCAGCAGCAGUGGGGAAGAUGGAACAAUGGGGGCAACCCUGAGCCAGCAAUCCGGUGUGAACGAUGAAGGUUUUCGGAUUAAAAAGUGCUUUCAUCAGGGAAGAAGAAUUGACGGUACCUGCUGAAGAAGCGACGGCUAAAUACGUG
rnacentral:rRNA from 1 species